UACGUAGGGACCAAGCGUUGUUCGGAUUUAUUGGGCGUAAAGCGCGCGCAGGCGGUCUUUUAAGUCUGAUGUGAAAGCCCACGGCUCAACCGUGGAGGGUCAUUGGAAGCUGGGAGACUUGAGUGCAGAAGAGGAGAGUGGAAUUCCGCGUGUAGCGGUGAAAUGCGUAGAUAUGUGGAGGAACACCAGUGGCGAAGGCGACUCUCUGGUCUGUAACUGACGCUGAGGCGCGAAAGCGUGGGGAGCAAACAGG
rnacentral:misc_RNA from 1 species